CAGCAGCCGCGGGAAUACAGAGGGUGCAAGCGUUAAUCGGAAUUACUUGGCGUAAAGCGCGCGUAGGUGGUUUGUUAAGUUGGAUGUGAAAUCCCCGGGCUCAACCUGGGAACUGCAUCCAAAACUGGCAAGCUAGAGUAUGGUAGAGGGUGGUGGAAUUUCCUGUGUAGCGGUGAAAUGCGUAGAUAUAGGAAGGAACACCAGUGGCGAAGGCGACCACCUGGACUGAUACUGACACUGAGGUGCGAAAGCGUGGGGAGCAAACAGGAUUAGAGACCCCUGUAGUCCCUGUCUCUUAUAC
rnacentral:rRNA from 1 species